rnacentral:lncRNA from 1 species
AUGGACCAAAGAGAAAUUCUGCAGAAGUUCCUGGAUGAGGCACAACACAGGAAAAGUAACAAAGAGGAGUUUGCUAAUGAAUUUCUGAUGCUGAAAAGACUAUCCGCCAAAUAUAAGGCAGAAAAAACCUAUCCCACAACUGUGGCUGAGAGGCCCAAGAAUAUCAAGAAAAACAGAUAUAAGGAUAUUUUGCCCUAUGACCAUAGCCUAGUAGAACUGUUCUUGAUAACCUCUGAUGAGGAUUCCAGCUACAUCAAUGCCAACUUCAUUAAGGGAGUUUAUGGACCCAAGACUUAUAUUGCCACCCAGGGACCUUUGCCUACAACUGUCCUGGACUUCUGGAGGAUGAUUUGGGAAUACAGCAUCCUGAUCAUUGUUAUGGCGUGCAUGGAGUUUGAAAUGGGAAAGGAAGCUGAAAAUAGAAAAUCUGAUUAUACAAUCAGGACUCUAAAAGCCAAGUUCAAUAGUGUAUCUGUAAUUCUUCCCCACCAAACAAGCCUGCACAGACUGUUCAGUCAAAUAACUCCAGCUCCUUUUUGA